AUUGAACGCUGGCGGCAGGCCUAACACAUGCAAGUCGAGCGGUAACAGGAAAUAGCUUGCUUAUUUUGCUGACGAGCGGCGGACGGGUGAGUAACGCGUAGGAAUUUGCCCAGUAGGUGGGGGAUAGCCCGGAGAAAUUCGGAUUAAUACCGCAUACGCCCUAAGGGGGAAANCGAGGGGAUCUUCGGACCUUGCGCUAUUGGAUAAGCCUGCGUGAGAUUAGCUAGUUGGUGAGGUAAGGGCUCACCAAGGCGACGAUCUCUAGCUGGUCUGAGAGGAUGAUCAGCCACACUGGAACUGAGACACGGUCCAGACUCCUACGGGGGGGCAGCAGUGGGGAAUAUUGCACAAUGGGCGAAAGCCUGAUGCAGCCAUGCCGCGUGUGUGAAGAAGGCUCUAGGGUUGUAAAGCACUUUCAGUAGGGAGGAAAAGUCGAUAGUUAAUACCUAUCGGCCGUGACGUUACCUACAGAAGAAGCACCGGCUAACUCCGUG
rnacentral:rRNA from 1 species